rnacentral:rRNA from 1 species
UGCAAGUCGAACGGACCCUUCGGGGUUAGUGGCGGACGGGUGAGUAACACGUGGGAACGUGCCUUUAGGUUCGGAAUAGCUCCUGGAAACGGGUGGUAAUGCCGAAUGUGCCCUUCGGGGGAAAGAUUUAUCGCCUUUAGAGCGGCCCGCGUCUGAUUAGCUAGUUGGUGAGGUAAUGGCUCACCAAGGCGACGAUCAGUAGCUGGUCUGAGAGGAUGACCAGCCACAUUGGGACUGAGACACGGCCCAAACUCCUACGGGAGGCAGCAGUGGGGAAUCUUGCGCAAUGGGCGAAAGCCUGACGCAGCCAUGCCGCGUGAAUGAUGAAGGUCUUAGGAUUGUAAAAUUCUUUCACCGGGGACGAUAAUGACGGUACCCGGAGAAGAAGCCCCGGCUAACUUCGUGCCAGCAGCCGCGGUAAUACGAAGGGGGCUAGCGUUGCUCGGAAUUACUGGGCGUAAAGGGCGCGUAGGCGGACAUUUAAGUCAGGGGUGAAAUCCCAGAGCUCAACUCUGGAACUGCCUUUGAUACUGGAUGUCUUGAGUGUGAGAGAGGUAUGUGGAACUCCGAGUGUAGAGGUGAAAUUCGUAGAUAUUCGGAAGACACCAGUGGCGAAGGCGACAUACUGGCUCAUUACUGACGCUGAGGCGCGAAAGCGU